rnacentral:rRNA from 1 species
GAAACUGCAGGUAAUGCCGGAUAAUGUCUCCGGACCAAAGAUUUAUUGCCCUUGGAUCGGUCUGCUUACUAUUAGCUUGUUGGUGGGGUAAAGGCCUACCAAGGCUCAGAUGGUUAGCGGGUGUGAGAGCAUGGCCCGUCUCACUGGGACUGAGACACUGCCCAGACACCUACGGGUGGCUGCAGUCGAGAAUCUUCCGCAAUGGACGAAAGUCUGACGGAGCGACGCCGCGUGCGGGAUGAAGGCCUUCGGGUUGUAAACCGCUGUCAGAGGGGAGCAAAUUUUGAGCGAUCCUCAGAGGAAGCACAGGCUAAGUUCGUGCCAGCAGCCGCGGUAAUACGAACUGUGCGAACGUUAUUCGGAAUCACUGGGCUUAAAGGGUGCGUAGGCGGGUUUGAAGGUCUGAUGUGAAAGCCCACGGCUCAACCGUGGAAUUGCGUUGGAAACCACAAGCCUUGAGGGGAUCAGAGGUGAGCGGAACAGAUGGUGGAGCGGUGAAAUGCGUUGAUAUCAUCUGGAACACCGGUGGCGAAAGCGGCUCACUGGGAUCUUUUCUGACGCUGA